AAGGGCAGAAGGCGGCAGCAAAGCGAACACAGAUCACAACAAAUUGGCGGCCAACACGGAGGAUAUGCAGUACAUAGCUUUUACAAGCUUUUACAGCAAAGUUUAGAAGUAUAAAUUGCAUAUAAAGUACUUCAUAUCCAGAUGAAAGCCAACCCGCACGUCACGCUGUGGAUGUGAAUGCGGACAGAAUAACAUCAGUAACCUCACCUUCAAGCAGCUGAAUGAGAUGAGCGGUCUGGCUGCCAGCACAGAUAAACAAGCUAAGGCUGCUUAUGCAAACACACACGGAAAAAGCUGUGCCUUUGCCAUACAAAAAGGUAUUUACAUCUGGAUCGGAUGCAUAAUUUAGAAGAUGCAACCUCUUGUUUGAACCCGCCAACAUCAUAGGAAAUAAUCUGAGGCGACGGAAAACCAAUGAACAUUGGUCAUAGGCACUACGACCAUUUGGAAUGUCCUGAAGAAGAUGAUUUUAUUCUUUGUGUAUUGUACUUAUAGUAAUGUUCAUAGACUCCAGAAAGGUUUGGACCAUUUUUGCCGCAUGUAAUCAUUCUCACACAUUUCAACAAUGCAGACUCCACCUGAAGUGUCACCACAGGGGAUGCAGAGUUUGAUUGCUGCUUGCUUUGGUGCUUAAUGAGUCCCAUGAGCGUGUUGUUAACUUGAGCCCUGCCAACCAUUGUCAGCGUUACUUCCAAAUCCAUACACCAAUUAUUCCCUCAAUGGAUGUGGAUAAUUUCAUUAUAUAAUAAACUGAAACAAUCUAUGAAGACAGGAAGUGAAGAAAGAAAGACACUUGCUGUUUAACACUAUGCGUCAUUCCAUUGGAUGCUGGAAAUAUUUCUAAGCACAUUGCAAAGAAAAUGCUCCUUUAUUAA